GUGUAUAAAUUUCGGGUUAAAUUUAGACCGUGGAAAUCUAAAAUCUAAAAUAAAUAUUUCGAAGGAAAGUGGAAUAUAUAAGCAAAGUGAUGAAACAUUCCAGAUUUGUAUGUUCGAAUGGUGCUCUCUGAUUUUCUUUCAGUGUUUUCCAUCUCGGGUUUUCAUUAAUCUUUAUCGGUGUCUCGGGGCCAGCAGGCCAAAUGAUCAUUAUUGCGAAAACAAAAAAAAACACUGGACUUAAUUAUUAUUGCUAGUGUUAAAAACCGUCUAGAGUAUAUAAGCCAACGCUUGAUUUCACAUUGUCGUUUUCUCCAUUUCAACACAAGUCAAUGCACCAGUUUUGAGUAACUCGUAAUGUCCAAUACUGUUCCUCAAUUAUACCUUUACUGGUGCCAUUAUCAUUGGCCCAAUUUGUCAUAUUUUGUCAAUAUUUUUGCAAAUUUUCCGUGCUUGCUCAAAAUGGUUGGAGGCUUCAGAAGCUUUGCUGAAUACAAGAGCGACUGGCAUGGACCGAACAACUUUCUGACUUUUGGAUUCUACAAACGAAACUACGCACUAUUUCCAAUAGUCACGCUGGCUUUUCUGGAUUGCUGCUGGAUGGCGUUUUGUACGAUCAAAGGUUUCCAGAGAACCGACAUUGUUUUGUCCCGCAACUUUAUCAAAAACAAGCAUCAAAGCGAGCUGAUCGAUCUGCUGAUCCAUCCAGUAAACAGGAAAUUUUUCACUAUUAAGCAAACCUUUGAGCCUCAACCCGAGUUGUACAAUCUUUAUCAGCAAAUGAUCAAAGCAGAACAGGAUGGCGACUAGGAAAACUUAAAUAUGUCUGGAUAAUAAAUAAAGAGACAUGUUGUGUUCA